rnacentral:rRNA from 1 species
AGAAUCAACGCUGGCGGCGUGCCUAACACAUGCAAGUCGAACGAGAAAGGGUAGCAAUACCUGAGUAAAGUGGCGCACGGGUGAGUAACACGUGACUAACCUACCCUGGAGUGGGGGGAUAACUGAGGGAAACCUUAGCUAAUACCGCAUAAUACCUACGGGUCAAAGGAGCAAUUCGCUUCAGGAGGGGGUCGCGGCCGAUUAGUUAGUUGGCGGGGUAAUGGCCCACCAAGACGAUGAUCGGUAUCCGGCCUGAGAGGGCGCACGGACACACUGGAACUGAAACACGGUCCAGACUCCUACGGGAGGCAGCAGUGGGGAAUUUUGCGCAAUGGGGGAAACCCUGACGCAGCAACGCCGCGUGGAGGAUGAAGUCCUUCGGGACGUAAACUCCUUUCGAUCGGGACGAUUAUGACGGUACCGGAAGAAGAAGCCCCGGCUAACUCGUGCCAGCAGCCGC